rnacentral:lncRNA from 1 species
AAGACUCUUGAGAGUGAGAUAAAUUUUAGGUCAUCAAAAAUAUGUAGCAUAAACAACCAAUUGUGUUUCUUACCCAUUCUAUGGUUUCAUUGGUACCCAAGCUAGACCAGAAUGCAUUUCGUUUGUCUAGUUGAGAAUGUCUGGACUUCACACACAAGCAGUUCAUCACNUAGAUGAAGCAGUGUAGACGUCCAUUUGAACUACUUCAUCGUCUAUCCAUGGAGCUACAAAAUCGGAGUUAAAAUUGUGGCUAAGUUCGAGUAUACUACUGUGGUCCGUCAUUUUGAAUGAAAAGUGUGCCGCGUUCACCGGAACUGUCUGUGUGGUUAGAACAACUCAAGUAGUGUUGGAGAUUUCUGCUGAUGUUUUAUGGAUCGCAGGAGAAAGUGUGGAGCGCAGCGUUUUUGAGUAAAGAAUAUCGAAUAUAAACUUUCGUGCACGCAAUCAAGACGCCAUAUUGGAUUAACUGAGAAGGGCAUUGUGGGACCAUACUUCCAGACAUCGAGUGCUGAACCGUCGUAUGGCAGCGCGAAGCAUUUACGGC